rnacentral:rRNA from 1 species
AGAUUGAACGCUGGCGGCAUGCCUUACACAUGCAAGUCGAACGGCAGCACGGGAGCAAUCCUGGUGGCGAGUGGCGAACGGGUGAGUAAUACAUCGGAACGUGCCCAAUCGUGGGGGAUAACGCAGCGAAAGCUGUGCUAAUACCGCAUAAGAUCUACGGAUGAAAGCAGGGGAUCGCAAGACCUUGCGCGAAUGGAGCGGCCGAUGGCAGAUUAGGUAGUUGGUGAGGUAAAGGCUCACCAAGCCUUCGAUCUGUAGCUGGUCUGAGAGGACGACCAGCCACACUGGGACUGAGACACGGCCCAGACUCCUACGGGAGCAGCAGUGGGAAUUUGGACAAGUGGGACGAAAGCCUGAUCCAGCCAUGCCGCGUGCAGGAUGAAGGCCUUCGGUUGUAACGUGCGUUUUGUAACGGUAACGAAAGUCUUACUUUAC